rnacentral:rRNA from 1 species
AUACUGAGGGUGCAAGCGUUGUCGGGAUUUAUUGGGUUUAAAGGGUGCGUAGGCGGUACGCUAAGUCAGUGGAGAAAUCCCUCAGCUCAACUGAGGAACUGCCAUUGAUACUGGCGUACUUGAGUACAGACGAGGUAGGCGGAAUUUAUGGUGUAGCGGUGAAAUGCAUAGAUACCAUAAAGAACACCGAUAGCGAAGGCAGCUUACUAGACUGUAACUGACGCUCAGGCACGAAAGCGUGGGGAGCGAACAGGAUUAGAAACCCCGGUAGUCC